CUGAAGGACUUCAGUGGACCAGUGCUUCGAGUCUGUUUGCUUCAAUAAGGGAGGAGGACCAAAGCGCCGAUCAUGAAUCACGAAGAAGUCGGUUCUCAGCUUCGUCAAGUUCUGGAAAAGGAAGAGUUGCUGGCCCUUGCUGCCAGAAUAAAGGACAACUACCCCUAUUGCCUACAAAUGUACAACACUCUGCUACUGACCUCCAAGGGACUGAAUGCUUGCUUCCAGUACGAGAUCUAUGUGCCCAGGAAUCACCAGGACUCUCAUAUCGUCAUUUGGAGGUCAUUGAUUGAA